rnacentral:lncRNA from 1 species
AAAGGUAUCAUUGUGCUUCUAAACUUAUUCAUUUUGAAAAUGCUUUCAAUUAUUUUUUUUACUGACUCAUUUCAUUCGGUUGCAUUCAAAAAUCUCUUAAGUUUUCUUGGAAGUUUUUUUUUUCCUUUAAUCAUUUUCUGUUGCUCUAGUUGAGUAAUUAUCAUUUAUUUCAAGCUGUUGUAAAUUGAGUAAGGGUAGUUUAGAAAAAUGAAACUCAUAUGGC